rnacentral:rRNA from 1 species
AACGAACGCUGGCGGCAGGCUUAACACAUGCAAGUCGAGCGCCCCGCAAGGGGAGCGGCAGACGGGGGAGUAACGCGUGGGAAUCUACCUUUUGCUACGGAAUAACGCAGGGAAACUUGUGCUAAUACCGUAUGUGCCCUUCGGGGGAAAGAUUUAGCGGCAAAGGAUGAGCCCGCGUUGGAUUAGCUAGUUGGUGGGGUAAAAGCCUACCAAGGCGACGAUCCAUAGCUGGUCUGAGAGGAUGAUCAGCCACAUUGGGACUGAGACACGGCCCAAACUCCUACGGGAGGCAGCAGUGGGGAAUAUUGGACAAUGGGCGCAAGCCUGAUCCAGCCAUGCCGCGUGAGUGAUGAAGGCCUUAGGGUUGUAAAGCUCUUUCACCGGUGAAGAUAAUGACGGUAACCGGAGAAGAAGCCCCGGCUAACUUCGUGCCAGCAGCCGCGGUAA